GGCCGUCAACAAUCUCCCAACGCGCCACCCUCUUCGCCGCCGUUGCCACCGCCGGUUCACCAGGACGAUGCCGACGAAGAUGAUGAAACCGUGAAGCAGCUCAACCAAUGCUCUUCUCUCUACUUAUCUUUACAGGAUUGUCUGAUUAAUACUGAUCGGAACUGGAAGUCUUGUCAAAAAGAAGUUCAGGCUCUAAAGGCAUGUAAUGAAAGAAGACAGAAGGACAAGAGGAGUUAGAGGAAGCAUUUUGGUUUUCGUUGCUGAGGCAGUUUUCUGACGUUGGAGGCUUACAGUUCUUUUUCUGUGAUUUGGGGGCUAACAAAAAUCCACAGUGAUGACUAAUUCUUGUUUACUAUUGAUAAACAUUGAGAUGAGUAUGACUUUAAAGUAUAAGACAUGUCCAUUCUUGGAAUAGCUGAAAAUGUGU